rnacentral:rRNA from 1 species
UUUAUUUAUGAAAUGCGCUUACUGGGACGAGAGUUGCUGAGGUAGGUAAUUAGUGGAGACUGCCCACUAAGCCGAAGACGUCUAGCUGGGUUGUGAGAUUGUCCAGUCACAUGGGAGCUGAAAAACAUCCCACCGUCGGCAGCAGUGGAGAAUCUUGGUCAAUGAACGAAAGUUUGAACCAGCAUAUUGCGUAAGAUGAAAAGUCAAAUUAUAAGGCUGUGAAGGCUACGAAAGCUGUAAAGUCUGGCUGCGAGCCAAAAUAAUGACAUUAAGCACGUGAAAAUCCCGGGCUAAGAAGGUGCCAGCAGCUGCGGUAAUACCUUAUCGGGGGAGCGUUAUUGGCCUUUACUGAGCGUAUAGUAUGGCUAGACGAUCUAAGAAGUUGCGAAAUAAAUCAAAAAUCAUGAGCUGAUCUAUUCGUAAUACCUUAGUAUAAGAGAGAGUAAGGAGUUGAUAAUACUUAUAGUAUAGAGAUAAAAUAUUAUAAUACUAUUAGGGAUUCUCGACAGCCUCGGCAAUCUUCUAUUAUUCUCUUUCGUCGAACCAUUUAAGUAUAAGUAUCGAAUAGGAUUUGAGACCCUAGUAGUUUAUACCUUGAAUCAAUGGGUAUCAUAUGUGGAAAAAUUUAUUUUUGCGUAUACGUUAACGCUUGAAUACCUCGCUUGGAGAGUAAGGCUGCAAAGGUUAAACUUAAACAGAUUGGCGGGAGUUUGUUUGAACGGUGGAGCGUGUGGAUUAAUUCGAUAAUCCGCGCCUAAUCUUACCAACGUAUUGAAAAGUUUUGUAGUAAUAUUUAGUGGUAUGUUACGAAAUACUUUAAAUUGGUACUGCAUGGCUGUCGUAAGCUCGUGUUGUGAAAUGUCCUAUUAAUUUAUCCAACGAACGCAACCUUUUAUAUAAGUU